rnacentral:rRNA from 1 species
AUGUUACCAGUAGUAAUUAACUACGCCGGCCAGUUAUACGAUAUAGAAUUGGCCGCUGCUACAAAUCAUCCGACUUAUUUCCUCCGAAAAUCAGUCGGGUCCGUAGCCCUCCGAUUCAGCCGUAGAUGGGGUCAACGCAUCAGCCCGCUCUCGUCUUUCUCCUCCCGAGUCAACAAACCCAAAUAUCGCACUCAGCAGCCUGUCAUCCCCUGGCCGACCUCUCUGUUGCCGCCAAAAAGCGUCGCCGCUUCAGGACUGCUGCAGAGUAGGAGAACCACUCCGUGGCCGGCGACGACGUGGCUUCAAUGCAGCACUGGUGGCCGGCGACGACGUGGCUUCAUUGCAGCGCCGGUGUCUUCAUUGGAGCACCGCUGGCCGGCGACGUGGCUUCAUUGCAGCGCCGGUGGCUUCAUUGGAGCGCCGGUGGCCGAUGACGAGGGCUUCAUUGCAGCUCCGAUGAAGCUCCAUUGCAGCCGCGGCGGAGCUCCAACGACCCGGACGACGCUCCAUUGCAGCCGCAGCGGAGCUCCAACGACCCGGACGACGCUCCAUUGCAGCCCCGGGCGCGCUUCAUUGGAGCGCCGGCGACAACGGCGGAUGUUGCUACGCAGCACGCGGCAGUCGUGGUGGAAGCGGCGACGUAGCACGCGCCGGUGA